rnacentral:rRNA from 1 species
UACAGAGGGUGCAAGCGUUAAUCGGAAUUACUGGGCGUAAAGCGUGCGCAGACGGUCUCGUAAGUCGGGUGUGAAAUCCCCGGGCUCAACCUGGGAAUUGCAUUCGAAACUGCGAGGCUAGGGUACGGAAGAGGGAAGCGGAAUUUCUGGUGUAGCGGUGAAAUGCGUAGAUAUCAGGAGGAACACCGGUGGCGAAGGCGGGACUCUGGGCCGAUACUGACGCUGAGGAGCGAAAGCGUGGGGAGCGAACAGG